rnacentral:rRNA from 1 species
UGUGAGGCUGAUGUGUAGGCAAAUCCGCACAUCGUUAAGGCUGGGCUGUGAUGGGGAGCGAAAAUUGCAGUAGCGAAGGUCAUGAGUUCAGGCUGCCAAGAAAAGCCUCUAGCCAGGUGAAGGUGCCCGUACCGCAAACCGACACAGGUAGGCGAGCAGAGUAUGCUAAGGCGCUCGGAAGAACUCUCGUUAAGGAACUCGGCAAAAUGACCCCGUAACUUCGGGAGAAGGGGUGCCUCGGUAGGGUGAAUAGCCCGAGGGGGCCGCAGUGAAAAGGCCCAAGCGACUGUUUAGCAAAAACACAGGUCUGUGCGAAGCCGUAAGGCGAAGUAUACGGGCUGACGCCUGCCCGGUGCUGGAAGGUUAAGGGGAUUGGUUAGCCGCAAGGCGAAGCUAUGAACCGAAGCCCCAGUAAACGGCGGCCGUAACUAUAACGGUCCUAAGGUAGCGAAAUUCCUUGUCAGGUAAAUUCUGACCCGCACGAAUGGCGUAACGACUUGGGCGCUGUCUCAACGAGAGAUCCGGUGAAAUUUUAAUACCUGUGAAGAUGCAGGUUACCCGCGACAAGACGGAAAGACCCCAUGGAGCUUUACUGCAGCUUGAUAUUGGACUUUGGUACGAUCUGUACAGGAUAGGUGGGAGCCUUGGAAACCGGAGCGCCAGCUUCGGCGGAGGCAUCGUUGGGAUACCACCCUGAUCGUAUCGGAGUUCUAACCUGGUACCGUGAUCCGGUACAGGGACCGUGUCAGGUGGGCAGUUUGACUGGGGCGGUCGCCUCCUAAAAUGUAACGGAGGCGCCCAAAGGUUCCCUCAGAAUGGUUGGAAAUCAUUCGUAGCGUGCAAAGGCAUAAGGGAGCUUGACUGCGAGACCUACAAGUCGAGCAGGGACGAAAGUCGGGCUUAGUGAUCCGGUGGUACCGCAUGGAAGGGCCAUCGCUCAACGGAUAAAAGCUACCCUGGGGAUAACAGGCUUAUCUCCCCCAAGAGUCCACAUCGACGGGGAGGUUUGGCACCUCGAUGUCGGCUCAUCGCAUCCUGGGGCUGAAGUAGGUCCCAAGGGUUGGGCUGUUCGCCCAUUAAAGCGGUACGCGAGCUGGGUUCAGAACGUCGUGAGACAGUUCGGUCCCUAUCUGUCGUGGGCGUAGGAAAUUUGAGAGGAGCUGUCCUUAGUACGAGAGGACCGGGAUGGACGCACCGCUGGUGUACCAGUUGUUCCGCCAGGAGCAUAGCUGGGUAGCUACGUGCGGACGGGAUAAGCGCUGAAAGCAUCUAAGCGUGAAGCCCCCCUCAAGAUGAGAUUUCCCAGUAUGUAAGACCCCUGGAAGACGACCAGGUUGAUAGGUUCGAGGUGGAAGCGCAGCAAUGCGUGGAGCUGACGAAUACUAAUCGGUCGAGGGCUUAUCCAA